UACGUAGGGCGCAAGCGUUAUCCGGAAUUAUUGGGCGUAAAGAGCUCGUAGGCGGUUUGUCGCGUCUGCCGUGAAAGUCCGGGGCUCAACUCCGGAUCUGCGGUGGGUACGGGCAGACUAGAGUGAUGUAGGGGAGACUGGAAUUCCUGGUGUAGCGGUGAAAUGCGCAGAUAUCAAGAGGAACACCGAUGGCGAAGGCAGGUCUCUGGGCAUUAACUGACGCUGAGGAGCGAAAGCAUGGGGAGCGAACAGG
rnacentral:rRNA from 1 species